rfam:Punica granatum cultivar Dabenzi scaffold454, whole genome shotgun sequence.
AAUCCGUGAUGUGGGCACUUUCUGAUUGCCUCCUUGAAUCUCUCCCAUGCCUCAUAAAGUGAUUCACCAUUGAACUUGGUGAAGUUAGUGAUUUCGUUCCUCAAUCU